rnacentral:tRNA from 1 species
GGCCCGUUCGUCUAGGGGUUAGGACUCCAGAUUUUCAUUCUGGCAACAGGGGUUCGAUUCCCCUACGGGCUA